AGAGCAUUAAGUUAUGUUAGACUGUGAUAUUUCAAAUGUUGAAGAGGGUGAAGCCCAUGUUCUG
rnacentral:tRNA from 1 species